CCUACGGGAGGCAGCAGUAGGGAAUCUUUCACAAUGGGCGAAAGCCUGAUGGAGCAACGCCGCGUGCAGGAUGAAGGCCUUCGGGUUGUAAACUGCUUUUAUAAGCGAGAAAUAUGAUGGUAACUUAUGAAUAAGGAUCGGCUAACUACGUGCCAGCAGCCGCGGUCAUACGUAGGAUCCGAGCAUUAUCCGGAGUGACUGGGUGUAAAGAGUUGCGUAGGUGGCAUAAUAAGUAGCGAGUGAAAUCUGGUGGCUCAACCAUUCAGACUAUUAGCUAAACUGUUAAGCUCGAGACCGUUAGAGGUAACUGGAAUUUCGAGUGUAGGAGUGAAAUCCGUAGAUAUUAGAAGGAACACCAAUAGCGUAGGCAGGUUGCUGGGACGGUUCUGACACUAAGGCACGAAAGCGUAGGGAGCAAACGGGAUUAGAUACCCCAGUAGUC
rnacentral:rRNA from 1 species